GUAGAUAUAGUUUAAUAAAUACUAGAUUGUGAUUCUAGAGUUAGAGGUUAAACCCCCCUUAUCAACC
rnacentral:tRNA from 1 species